rnacentral:rRNA from 1 species
GACGAACGCUGGCGGCGUGCCUAAUACAUGCAAGUCGAGCGAACCUGCAGGAGCUUGCUCCCGUUGGUUAGCGGCGGACGGGUGAGUAACACGUGGGCAACCUGCCUGUAAGCCUGGGAUAACACCGGGCAACCGGUGCUAAUACCGGAUCAUCUCUUUCCUCUCAUGAGGCAAAACUGAAAGACGGUUUCGGCUGUCACUUACAGAUGGGCCCGCGGCGCAUUAGCUAGUUGGUGAGGUAACGGCUCACCAAGGCGACGAUGCGUAGCCGACCUGAGAGGGUGAUCGGCCACACUGGGACUGAGACACGGCCCAGACUCCUACGGGAGGCAGCAGUAGGGAAUCUUCCACAAUGGACGAAAGUCUGAUGGAGCAACGCCGCGUGAGCGAUGAAGGCCUUCGGGUCGUAAAGCUCUGUUGUUAGGGAAGAACAAGUACCGGAGUAACUGCCGGUACCUUGACGGUACCUAACCAGAAAGCCACGGCUAACUACGUGCCAGCCGCCGCGGUAAAAC